rnacentral:tRNA from 1 species
GCCUGGGUGGCUCAGUCAGUUAAGCGUCCGACUUCGGCUCAGGUCACGAUCUCACGGUCUGUGGGUUCAAGCCCCACAUCAGGCU